rnacentral:rRNA from 1 species
AGGCUUAACACAUGCAAGUCGAGGGGAAACGACAUCGAAAGCUUGCUUUUGAUGGGCGUCGACCGGCGCACGGGUGAGUAACGCGUAUCCAACCUGCCCACCACUUGGGGAUAACCUUGCGAAAGUAAGACUAAUACCCAAUGAUAUCUCUAGAAGACAUCUGAAGGAGAUUAAAGAUUUAUCGGUGAUGGAUGGGGAUGCGUCUGAUUAGCUUGUUGGCGGGGUAACGGCCCACCAAGGCAACGAUCAGUAGGGGUUCUGAGAGGAAGGUCCCCCACAUUGGAACUGAGACACGGUCCAAACUCCUACGGGAGGCAGCAGUGAGGAAUAUUGGUCAAUGGACGAGAGUCUGAACCAGCCAAGUAGCGUGCAGGAUGACGGCCCUAUGGGUUGUAAACUGCUUUUAUAAGGGAAUAAAGUGAGUCUCGUGAGACUUUUUGCAUGUACCUUAUGAAUAAGGACCGGCUAAUUCCGUGCCAGCAGCCGCGGUAAUACGGAAGGUCCGGGCGUUAUCCGGAUUUAUUGGGUUUAAAGGGAGCGUAGGCCGGAGAUUAAGCGUGUUGUGAAAUGUAGACGCUCAACGUCUGCACUGCAGCGCGAACUGGUUUCCUUGAGUACGCACAAAGUGGGCGGAAUUCGUGGUGUAGCGGUGAAAUGCUUAGAUA